rnacentral:rRNA from 1 species
GGGGAAUUUUGGACAAUGGGCGCAAGCCUGAUCCAGCCAUGCCGCGUGCAGGAUGAAGGCCUUCGGGUUGUAAACUGCUUUUGUACGGAACGAAAAGGUGCCUUCUAAUAAAGGGCGCUCAUGACGGUACCGUAAGAAUAAGCACCGGCUAACUACGUGCCAGCAGCCGCGGUAAUACGUAGGGGGCAAGCGUUGUCCGGAUUUACUGGGUGUAAAGGGCGCGCAGGCGGGAUAAAAAGUCAGUGGUGAAAUCCUACAGCUUAACUGUAGAACUGCCUUUGAUACUUUUAUUCUUGAGUUCGGGAGAGAGAGACGGAAUUCCAGGUGUAGUGGUGAAAUACGUAGAUAUCUGGAAGAACACCAGUUGCGAAGGCGGUCUCUUGGUACGACACUGACGCUGAGGCGCGAAAGCGUGGGGAGCAAACA